UGGGGAAUAUUGCACAAUGGAGGGAACUCUGAUGCAGCGACGCCGCGUGAGUGAUGAAGGACUUCGUUUCGUAAAACUCUGUUCUAUGGGAAGAAAAGGACUGUACCAUAGGAGAAAGCUCCGGCUAACUACGUGCCAGCAGCCGCGGUAAUACGUAUGGAGCGAGCGUUGUCCGGAAUUAUUGGGCGUAAAGGGUGUGCAGGCGGAUUUACAAGUUGGAUGUGAAAUAUUGUGGCUCAACCACAAACGUGCAUCCAAAACUGCAAAGCUUGAGUUAAGGAGAGGUAAGUGGAAUUCCUGGUGUAGCGGUCGAAUGCGUAGAUAUCAGGAGGAAUACCAGUGGCGAAGGCGACUUACUGGACUUAAACUGACGCUCAGGCACGAAAGCGUGGGGAGCAAUCAGG
rnacentral:rRNA from 1 species